rnacentral:rRNA from 1 species
UACGUAGGGUGCGAGCGUUAAUCGGAAUUACUGGGCGUAAAGCGUGCGCAGGCGGUUUUGUAAGCCGGAUGUGAAAUCCCCGGGCUUAACCUGGGAAUGGCAUUCGGGACUGCAAGGCUGGAGUGCGGCAGAGGAGACUGGAAUUCCUGGUGUAGCAGUGAAAUGCGUAGAUAUCAGGAGGAACACCGAUGGCGAAGGCAGGUCUCUGGGCUGACACUGACGCUCAUGCACGAAAGCGUGGGGAGCGAACGGG